rnacentral:rRNA from 1 species
GACGAACGCUGGCGGCAUGCCUAACACAUGCAAGUCGAGCGAGUAGAUCCCUUCGGGGUGAAGCUAGCGGCGGACGGGUGAGUAACACGUGGGCAACCUGCCUCAUAGAGGGGAAUAGCCUUCCGAAAGGAAGAUUAAUACCGCAUAAGAUUGUAGCUCCGCAUGAAGCAGCAAUUAAAGGAGCAAUCCGCUAUGAGAUGGGCCCGCGGCGCAUUAGCUAGGUGGUGGGGUAACGGCUCACCAAGGCGACGAUGCGUAGCCGACCUGAGAGGGUGAUCGGCCACAUUGGGACUGAGACACGGCCCAGACUCCUACGGGAGGCAGCAGUGGGGAAUAUUGCACAAUGGGGGAAACCCUGAUGCAGCAAUGCCGCGUGAGUGAUGACGGCCUUCGGGUUGUAAAGCUCUGUCUUCGGGGACGAUAAUGACGGUACCCGAGGAGGAAGCCACGGCUAACUACGUGCCAGCCGCCGCAGUAA